rnacentral:lncRNA from 1 species
CCAGAGAGCCAGAGCAGGACCCCAUGAUGGAUCAUCAGAGAUCCCACCAUCCCCCUCCCAGUCCCCCCCCCAGAGAGGGUGUGGCUCACUACCCUACAAUGAUGUUACUCUAAAACCCACCACGACAUAGCCACCACCUCCUUACAGUCUCAGUCCUGAGGACCAUGCUGGUGGACAGAGAGGCACUGACAACCCCAUCUUUUGAACUACUUCAUCCAUAUACCUCCUGGAUCAAGUCUAGGGCUCCUGGGAUUCUGGAAUGACUCCACCAUCCUGCUAGGUCUCUGAUCCUUCUUUGAUUUAGCUUACUGCCUUUUCUGCCCCACCCUCCCUAGUUGCUUCUUGUCCUGAGGGCUGAAUUGAAUCCUUAUUCUUUCUCCCAACUCCACGUUAAAGGCUGUGCAAGAGGAUAAUUAGGGUACCUGCAGUCGUAUGUAGAGCUUGAUGGCUGGAGGAGUGCCAGUCUUGACUUGACAGCCAGCUCUGCCAUAUCACAGAAGCACUUCUGUAACUGUAGGAGAUUGGAGAUUGAACUACAUGGAGUCCGAGCCUCCUCCUGACUCUGCCUGUACAGAACAAACCCCAUUGUACCUCCACAGUGCAUGUCCUCAUUAAUGUUUCACUGGUGAACUGAGUUGCCUCUGCCUGAGAAGAGGUGGUAAAGAUGAGCUCGGGAACAAAAGGGACAUUGUGCUAAACUCCCACCAUUAGUGACUGAGUGCAUUGUUCACCAGCCUGAGAGGACUACACAUCCAAAUGCUUUGACCUUCGGUUCCCAGACAUUUGUGGGUAUUAAAGAAAUGGACUGGAACUCCCCCAUCCCAUCCUCACUUGGUGCUCUGCUCUCUCUGGGAGACCACAGCUUGAUCAUCCUGUGACUACUAGGAAGACACCAACCUGGCAGCAGCCUCCUGGGAGAAGAGAGGCUCCAAGCUGGAGUUGUCCUCACUGGCAAGCCUCCUCUGUAGGAGGUUAAGCAGUGGGAGUCAGAGUUCUGAAGGAAAGGGUCUCCUUCAGCCUGGGUGUCACCUGCCUGUCAUUGAAGAUGGCAUAGGGCUUUUCACUUCUCCACAGCAACAGUGGUGUGGUCUGAAGCUCAUCAUUGCUGGUACCAAGUGGUUGAAAUGACUACUUCUAUCUGCCCUGCCCCUCCUGUACCCCUUGUCACUGUUGGGGGGUGAUCUGGCACUAUCCAUUCAUGUCAUCGGUAUUUAUAAAGCCACCACUACAUGUGUGGUGUGCAGGCCUGGCCUGGGUAUCCAGGAACAGAGAGAUGCAUGGGACCUACCAGUUCCACUUCUAAGGCUAAGUCUACAGAAAGGUCUAUACACUAGAUCUCAUGGAAAUGUUUGUCUCCCUCCACCGGGGAUGAGGAAUAAAACUAUAGUCAGUAUCCUUUUUCAUAUGUGAGUCUAUUCAGUAAGCCACAUGCACCCACAAUGAAUGAACUGCAUCCUUUAAGGAGUGUAUCUGCAGAACCAACCUGGCACAGUAUCCAUCACUUACUGUUGGAAGAACAGGCAAAUUCAGAGAAGCUUUAAGUUGUGAAAUAAAUUCCAUUGUUACAUUAAAAAAAAUAGUCUAUAUAAAAUGAGGUGGUCAGGUUAGAGUAUUUAUAAGUUCCUGUCUUGUUCUAAGUCUUCUCCCUGCAAUCUAACUCUUCUCCAUUUUACCCUAUCCACUAUUUAGAAUAAUUUCCAGAAAACUGGCAGUUGUCUCUUUGUCCUUAUUUUUUUUGUUGAUGCCAAGCUCUGGUCUUGCCUCUAGUUACUGCUAGAAGAGUCAAGGAAUGUUUCUACCAUUGGGACUUCUGAGGCAUUAUAGACAAUAUUGUGUGUAGGGGGGACCUUCUUUCCUCUUUUAGUAUCUAAGGAAACAUUUCUGUUUUCUAAGACAUUAAGUAUUUUUUAUUAGCAGUCUUAAAAAAAGAUUUAUUUAUUUAUUAUGUAAACAGAGUUCUGUCUGCAUGUAUGCCUGCCGGUGAGAAGAGGGCACCAGACCUCAUUACAG